GAUGAACGCUGACAGAAUGCUUAACACAUGCAAGUCUACUUGAAUUUGGGUCUUUGACUUAGAUUUGGGUGGCGGACGGGUGAGUAACGCGUAAAGAACUUGCCUCACAGUUAGGGACAACAUUUGGAAACGAAUGCUAAUACCUGAUAUUAUGAUUAUACGGCAUCGUAUAAUUAUGAAAGCUAUAUGCGCUGUGAGAGAGCUUUGCGUCCCAUUAGCUAGUUGGAGAGGUAACGGCUCACCAAGGCGAUGAUGGGUAGCCGGCCUGAGAGGGUGAACGGCCACAAGGGGACUGAGACACGGCCCUUACUCCUACGGGAGGCAGCAGUGGGGAAUAUUGGACAAUGGACCAAAAGUCUGAUCCAGCAAUUCUGUGUGCACGAUGACGUUUUUCGGAAUGUAAAGUGCUUUCAGUUGGGAAGAAAAAAAUGACGGUACCAACAGAAGAAG
rnacentral:rRNA from 1 species